rnacentral:rRNA from 1 species
GAUGAACGCUGGCGGCGUGCCUAACACAUGCAAGUCGAACGGAGUUGUCACCAUGAAGUUUUCGGAUGGAUUGGUAACAACUUAGUGGCGGACGGGUGAGUAACGCGUGGGUAACCUGCCUCAUACUGGGGGAUAACAGCUGGAAACGGCUGCUAAAACCGCAUAAGAUCGCAUCACCGCAUGGUGAGGCGGUUAAAUAUCGAAAGAUAGGUAUGAGAUGGGCCCGCGUCUGAUUAGCUAGUUGGUGAGAUAAGAGCCCACCAAGGCGACGAUCAGUAGCCGGCUUGAGAGAGUGACCGGCCACAUUGGGACUGAGACACGGCCCAAACUCCUACGGGAGGCAGCAGUGGGGAAUAUUGCACAAUGGGGGAAACCCUGAUGCAGCGACGCCGCGUGAGUGAAGAAGUGCUUCGGCAUGUAAAAGCUCUAUCAGCAGGGAAGAAGAUGACGGUACCUGACUAAGAAGCCCCGGCUAACUACGUG